rnacentral:rRNA from 1 species
AAUAGAUACCCGGGUAGUCCACGCCGUAAACGAUGAGUGCUAAGUGUUAGAGGGUUUCCGCCCUUUAGUGCUGAAGUUAACGCAUUAAGCACUCCGCCUGGGGAGUACGGCCGCAAGGCUGAAACUCAAAGGAAUUGACGGGGGCCCGCACAAGCGGUGGAGCAUGUGGUUUAAUUCGAAGCAACGCGAAGAACCUUACCAGGUCUUGACAUCCUCUGACAACCCUAGAGAUAGGGCUUCUCCGUUCGGGAGCAGAGUGACAGGUGGUGCAUGGUUGUCGUCAGCUCGUGUCGUGAGAUGUUGGGUUAAGUCCCGCAACGAGCGCAACCCUUGAUCUUAGUUGCCAUCAUUCAGUUGGGCACUCUAAGGUGACUGCCGGUGACAAACCGGAGGAAGGUGGGGAUGACGUCAAAUCAUCAUGCCCCUUAUGACCUGGGCUACACACGUGCUACAAUGGACGGUACAAAGAGCUGCAAGACCGCGAGGUGGAGCUAAUCUCAUAAAACCCGUUCUCAGUCCGGA